rnacentral:tRNA from 1 species
CGCCUGUUCGGCCAGGUUCGGGCACUUCAUCCCGGGCGGGAGGUCGUGGAAGUCGUUGCGGUCGUUGCGUUCGUGCCUGCCGAGCGCGGGGGA